AACGCGUAUGCAACUUACCUUUAACAGGAGAAUAGCCCCGAGAAAUCGGGAUUAAUACUCCAUAAUAUCAAGCUUUCGCAUGUUAGCUUGAUUAAAGCUCCGGCGGUUAAAGAUAGGCAUGCGUUAGAUUAGCUUGUUGGUGAGGUAACGGCUCACCAAGGCAACGAUCUAUAGGGGGUCUGAGAGGAUGAUCCCCCACACUGGUACUGAGACACGGACCAGACUCCUACGGGAGGCAGCAGUGAGGAAUAUUGGUCAAUGGACGAAAGUCUGAACCAGCCAUGCCGCGUGCAGGAAGAAUGCCCUAUGGGUUGUAAACUGCUUUUAUGUAAGAAGAAACCCCUCUACGUGUAGAGGGCUGACGGUAUUACAAGAAUAAGCACCGGCUAACUCCGUGCCAGCAGCCGCGGUAAUACGGAGGGUGCAAGCGUUAUCCGGAUUUAUUGGGUUUAAAGGGUCCGCAGGCGGAAAAUUAAGUCAGUGGUGAAAUCCUACAGCUUAACUGUAGAACUGCCAUUGAUACUGAUUUUCUUGAGUAUAGUUGAAGUGGGCGGAAUGUGUCAUGUAGCGGUGAAAUGCAUAGAUAUGACACAGAACACCGAUA
rnacentral:rRNA from 1 species